CAAAGAUUUGGUCCUGAUCUUAUUGUCAGCUUUAACCCAAUUUACACAUGCAAGUCUCCGCAACCCUGUGAGGAUGCCCCCACUCCCCCGUCCGGGGACGAGGAGCCGGUAUCAGGCACAAUAUUAGCCCAAGACACCUUGCUUAGCCACACCCCCAAGGGUAUUCAGCAGUGAUAGACAUUAAGCCAUAAGUGAAAACUUGACUUAGCCAGGGAUAAGAGGGCCGGUUAAACUCGUGCCAGCCACCGCGGUUAUACGAGAGGCCCAAGUUGACAUUAUCGGCGUAAAGAGUGGUUAUGGGAACAAUAAACUAAAGCUAAAGACUUCUCCGGCCGUUAUACGCUCAUAGAAGUUCGAACACCACUAACGAAAGUAGCUUUAAACCCUCCUACCAGAACCCACGACAGCUAGGGCACAAACUGGGAUUAGAUACCCCACUAUGCCUAGCCAUAAACUUAGAUAUUAUAGUACAUAAAUAUCCGCCAGGGGACUACAAGCCUAGCUUAAAACCCAAAGGACUUGGCGGUGCUUCAAACCCACCUAGAGGAGCCUGUUCUAGAACCGAUAAUCCCCGUUCAACCUCACUACUUAUUGCUCUUUCCGCCUAUAUACCACCGUCGCCAGCUUACCCUAUGAAGGGCCAACAGUAAGCAAGAUGAACACUGUCCAAAACGUCAGGUCGAGGUGUAGCGUACGAAGUAGAAAGAAAUGGGCUACAUUACCUAAAUAUAGGUUAUUACGAAAGGUAAUUCUGAAAUCGAUAACCAGAAGGUGGAUUUAGCAGUAAAGAAGGAGUAGAGCGCCUUCUUGAAGCCGGCUCUGAAGCGCGCACACACCGCCCGUCACUCUCCCCAACAACCGCUUAAACCAAAAGUAAGUAACAACUAUAAUGGUUACAAGGGGAGGUAAGUCGUAACAUGGUAAGUGUACCGGAAGGUGCACUUGGAAUAAU
rnacentral:ncRNA from 1 species